rnacentral:lncRNA from 1 species
UUUCCCUUUUAAUUUUUCAUCCCUCAGCAUUUUACCUCCACCGUUGGAUCAACAUGAUCCAACGACCCCCGUUUUAUCCCAUUUAAACCUUUUCUUUUCUUUUUCUCCCCAAAAAUCUGGAUUCGUUGAUCAAUGAAAUCCAACGUCUCUCAUCCAGUCUCUCUGUUUAAUUAGCCAACCCCUUCCCAAACCCUAAUCAUUCCUUCAGAGAUCAGCCGCCUCUCUUUCCCCUUCGUCUCUCUUUUCUCUCCUCCUCUCACCAGCUGCUAAGGAGGACCACUUGGUUUGCUGUUCCGAAGAAGGUCAGUAGAUCACCGACCCGCUCCUUAAUUAUUUAAGUGUUCAUGUAUUAUUAUGUAGUUUCAUUGGUUUGGUAUUUUUCUGUUGAUUCUUCUUCAUGAUAUUCAUUGGUCAAAUGUGACCUUCAACUGUGUUUUGCUGCUUGUGUUAUUCUUUGUUUAAUUAAUUGAUAAAUCCUUCUAAAAUUAUGAUUACCUCCUAUGUUGUUGUUUCAGUCGAUAUUUUAUGAUUAGAUUUUGUUUUUUCUCAUAUUGAUAUUAUCACUAGGUGUAGUGCUUAACUAAAUGAAACAACAUUAUUAUGAUCCUUAUCCUGUUAACUUUCUAUAUUAAUCUUUGUGUUGGCAGCCUGUUUGAUCCCUGUUAUGGCUCUGUUAAUUAGGUGACACUUACUGAUUUCCAUGCUUAUAUUAUCAUAUUGAUGGAAUGAUACCUAUGAACCUUCAUGCCACCUUGUUUAAUCAACUAAGUGAUUGUUAUGCCUAUACUAUCAUAUUACUAUGUUGGAAAAAAAUUCUUACCAUGUUGCUUCUGUGAAUAGCUAAUUGAAUGAUCCCCUUGGUUCUCUUGCCUAUACCACCAUGUUAUGAUUUUCAUCAUGAUGUUUUGAUUGGUUAGUUGAAUGAUUCCCACUGUCAGUCAUGUUCAUAGUAUUAUGUUGUGAUCCAUCUGUUAGUUUAUCAUGGUAGCUUGAGUAAAUAGAUGUUAACUUGUAAAUUACAUAUCCACUCUACCUAGAUUAGUUGUGAAUAAGCAUUCUUGUCAUCUCAUUCCUAUAUGGUAUUUGAAAACUCUCCAUAGGAUCUUUCUACAAUGUGUGAAGACAUUGUUGGAUCUGGUAACUUAAACGAGUAUUAUUCAUCCUCAAUGUGCAUUAUCAUGUUUACAUGCAUGCCUAUAGGAUCUAAAUGGUGAGACUAGAAUUUGACCAUUCUACUAAUGUUUAAUUCUCUCAUAUGUUUUCACUAUUAGUAAUGACUCCUUUAAAAUAAUUUUGAGUAAGAUGCCAACAUAAAUUCUUAGUGUGACAUAAAAAUCUCAACUAUGUGCUUUUUGUUUGAUGUUAAAAGAAGCUGCUCUUAGGCUAUUUUGGUGUUCUAUAACUUAUUUGGAUAAUUGAAAAGACAACUCAGUCUGAUCAGAUUCCUAAAAAGCAUUAGAUCUCUGAUAAAGUUAGUAAAUUAGUGCAUAUGUGUUUUGCUAACUACUGAUGCCUUAAUAUUUGUAGUGGCAAUCUUGAAAUUGAAAUUGUAAGUACCAGAGCCUAUCUACAGGAGCAUAUAGUUAGUCAUUUGUAACCUCUACUCGAUUGUGUUUCAGUAGUGAUUCUCAAGAGUGUUCUGUAAGUGUUGUGCUACAUGAAAUGGUUUAGAACAAACCAUUAAGCCUUUGAAACUAUUAAAACUUUGAGAAUUCGCAUGUGGUGACCUAUCUUUAUAUAUUGUGUUCUGAUAAAUAGUUUUAAGAUCAAGCUUGUACUAGUUCUUGGUUGCGUAGUAUUUUUGUACUCCAAUGAUGACUGCAAUUCCUAAUAUGGUUGUUUGUUCCAAGUGGUUGGUAUUUCUGUAUGGCUGAAUCUUUGAAAGGUCUUAUGAUGAACCUUCUGUACUUAUUUGUUUCAUGCUGACUAUGUGAGACUGUCACGUUGAGAUUCCCUUGUAUCUAAACCUCUGUAGAAUAUUAAGGUUCAGUACUUACGGGUGUUUGGUGUGGGCUUGACUUUACCAUUAAGGGACCUCUCCCUGACACAAGCACUGCUCGGGGGCCCAAGAAACCCUCGUGAACUCUGAAGUGCUCGGGAUCCAUAGAGGAACCUUAUAAGUAAAUAUGGUUCACCCUAAGCCCAAAAUUGCAGACCUUAAUUAAUCUUCGAGGGAUUAGCACAAAAGAAAUUUAGCUUUGUUAUAUUAAGAUUAUGUUUAUUGUAAACUUUAUCCUAAUUCAUUUUAUUCUGCAUAUGCUAAUUAAUUCGUUCUCUUUUUCUUUGCAUGAUUGUUGGGCCUGCUGAAUUCAUUGGAAACUCAGGCUCAAGUUCAAAGAACUAGGUUACCCCCUUGCCGUAUGCUGAAGUUUGCUGCCGCUAGAGCCUAGCGGGGCCUAACUAAUUAGUCAGCCUAAUAUGAGAGUCCAAUUUUCUUUCCCUUCAUUUGAAGCGAUUAUUAUUGUUAUCUUAUUUAUGUAUAUAUACUAACAUUGAUAUUGGAUGCUUACCUAUUUUUACUUUAACCAUUUAGGAAGACUUUAGGCCAAUCAAACUAAUAAAGUAACUGUGACCUGAAGGGUAAUCGCUCUAAUAUUCAUAACAUUUUUUGGAAAUUGAAUGCCCUUUUAUACUAACUGUUUAACAAAUAAUGAUUCUUCUGUUUACUUACUUUUUUUCUAGUGAGUUUUUUUUUGGUUUUUAGGCCCUGGCAAAAAUUGAAUAAGCUUAAAUAAGAAUGUCCCUUUGAAAAGUUUAAAAACAAGUCGCCUAGUCAACUAAACAUCUAGACUGUUUUAAGUAAAAGAAGUAAGCGCGCCACACCUAGUUAGAUCUGAUUUUUCAAGAACAAAACCAAACAACCUUUGGAAUUCUCACUACUGAAAAAUUGACCUAUGGUAACACAUGGAAAACCAUUCCAACAGACAGUUAAACCGUUUCCAUAGAGAUAUUGGAACGGUUUAUCACUCGUUCCAUCAGCCCGCUUGCCAGUAGAGCUAUAGGAACAGUUCUUGCAAUAGUUUGCGUCAUAGUUUCUAUAGAGCCAUCUAUCGCAAUGGUUUUCCCUUUCUCUGUUGGAACGAUUAUUCUUUCAAACUGGAACAAUUUAAAACUGUUACUAUAUUAUGUAUGCAACGGUUCAUAACCGUUACCAUAUUAUUUAAUGCAACACUUAUGUAAGAUAUUGUUACGGUUAUAACAACAAUAACAAAAAACUCAGUAGUUUCUCGCAAGUGGGAUCUGGAGAGGGUAGGAUGUACGCAACCUUACCCCUACCCCUGGAAGGGCAGAGAGGCUAUUUCCGAUAGACCCUUGGGUAGAGAAUGACUGAAAAAGAAUAAGGUAAUUGCAACAAGUAGGAAUAACAACAAGAUAAAAUAAAUCGAAUCCAAGAAUGUAGUUAAACUCUAGGUAGUAAUACCAAUCUAUGAAUAAAAAAAUAUCACACUAACACUAAUGCUAGCGAACUGAGUAAGACAAAGAGAAACUCUCAACUACCUACGAACCUUCUAUCAUAAUUUUUGACCUCCACACCCUCCUGUCUAGGGCCAUGUCCUCAGUCAGCUCCAGCUGCGCCAUGUCCCGCAUAAUAAUCUUUUCCCAAGACUUCUUAGGCCUGCCUUUACCCCUCCUGCUACCCACCGAGGCUACCCUCUCGCACCUUCUAUUGUUAUGAUUAUGUAUGGAUGUAAUAACAGUGUUUUUAAGCUAUUGUAAUGGUAUUAUUUGUAUAGCUACAGGUUAUAAUAAACUACGACAAUAAAGGAAAAGCUAUUGCAUCGGUUUUAACUACCUUCAUCUUCCAUUUCUUGAUCUACUUGUCAUGACCCAAAAUUUACAAGUCGUGAUGGCACCUAACCCAACCCGAUAGAUAAGCCAACAGUCACAUAAUAAUAAUGAAAUCGAAUAAACAUGGUCUAAAAACUCAACAUCGGAAGAAUGUCAUAAAGUAUAUGAGAAUAAAACCAUAAUGCUGCUACAACCAACCCAAAAUUUGGUGUAAAUGAAUACACGGGCACUAGUGAAUAACAUGGUACGAGCACAAUCCUCUAAUAUAAUUGUAUGAAUAAAUGAACAGUAAAGAUCGAGAUAAUAGAAAGAGAACUUCUAGGACUGCGGAUGAUAUGGUAGCUACCUCAUAGUCUCCCAAAACAUGGCAACAACUCAAGUCUAAAAAUCACCUCGACUGGAUGUCCCUGGAUCUGGACAUGAAGUGCAGAGUGUAGUAUGAGUACAACUAACCCCAUGUACUUAAUAAGUAACAAUACUAAACUUGGGCUGAAAGCAAUGACGAGCUUAGAAAAAUAGUCAAAUGCUAAUACCAAUCACCUAUAACAGUUCAGAAUAUAAAGGAUAAAUCGUAGAGAAAAUAGCUCAAUGAUAUCAAGUUCAGCUUGUUCACGUUUCAGAAAAUUAGGCAUGCUUUCAAGUAUAACAGUUAAAGCCCAACACAUAUAAAGCAGGUCAAUUAUCAGUUAGCAUGAGGAAAGUACAUCUCUAUGCCUACAUGUCAAGUAUACUAUAACGACCAGACCGGUUGUUUUGAGAUCUAGCACAUCGUUCCGCGGUCUGAGGCCUUGAGUAGCUUCUCUUCAAUAUUUAUGACUUGUAGGCCUAAUGUGAAUUGGAUUUCGGGAAGUUCGGAGUUGAUUCAAAAUGAAAAUUCUCAAUCCAGAAGCUUUAAGUUGGAAGAGUUGAUCAAGGUUUGACUUUGGAGUAAAUAACCUCAGAAUCAAGAUUUGAAGGUUCCAAUAGGUUCGUACGAUGAUUUCAGACUUAGGCAUAUAUUCGGGUCGAGUAUCAGGUGGUUCGGGGGCAUUUCGGCGCUUAUUAUGGAAAGUUAGCAUUUUAAAAGUUUUAGAAUUUCCUAAGUUUGAUUUAGAGUGGACUUUGGUGUUAUCGAUAUCCGUUUUGGGUUCCGAGCCUUAGAAUAGGUUUGUAUCAUGACUUUUGACUUGUACGUAAUGUUUGGAGUCAUUCCGAAAUGUUUAAGUAUGAUUUGGAUGCGUUUGUCAAAAUUUGAGUGUUUGAAAUUUGAAAGAAGGAUUUUGAUCGUCAAUUCAUAAUUUUGAGGUUAUUCGUGGAAUUUUGAGCCUUUGGAUAAGUUCGGAUAAGGUGUUGAGACUUGUUGGUGUGAUUGGACGGGGUCCCGGGGGCCUUGGGUGAGUUUCAGCGUGUUUUUGGAUCAUUUCUUCAUUUUUUUCUACUGCUGUUACUAGUUCUGGUAUUGUUUAUCGCGAACGCAUAAGGUUGGUCGUGUUCGCGAAGAAGGAUUUGAGGAGGAGGAUUUUUGUUCAUCGCGUAAGUGAUGGGGUCCUGCGUUCGCGAAGGUGUGAGCGGAUGUGCCUGGAAGCUUGGCUUUUGCGUUCGAAGUGGAGUGGUCGCGUCCGCGAAGAGAUGGCCUGGUGAAGCAUCACGUUCUCGACUUCCGUAUCGCAUUCAUGUAGAGGAGUUUUGCAGUUGGAUCAGGUUGAUCUUCACGAGCGCGAGGGUAAGGCCGCGUUCGCGAAGGUCGGACUGGGCAGUGUUAUUUUAAAUCGGGGGUUUGGCUCAUUUUCACUUCCUUUCUUCUAUGGGAUCCUACUUUGGAGCAAUUGUGGAGCGCCAUUUUCAUCAUCAAUCGUGAGGUAAGUGAUUUCUAUACGUUGUGAGUUAAAUACAUGAAUUUAGGCUUAUUAAUUCAGGAAUUUAAGUGAAAAAUGUGGGAUUCCUGGUAGAAGACCUAGAAUUGGUAUUUUUGGAUUUUGACCACGAAAUUGGGCAUGGAAUUAAGAAUAAAUGAUAUACUUUGGGUUCGUGGUGUUAUGUAUAAUGUUUAUUUUUUAAUAUUUUCGGAAUCCGGGCAUGUGGGCCAGAGGGUUGACUUUGUUGACUUUUCGAGUGGAGUUGAGGAUUGUUAAAAAUUGUUAAAUUAUAAGCAUUGGAGUAUAUUUUGAUUGAUUUGCACGUUGUUUGACUAGUUUUAGAUUGAUGUGCAUCUGUUUGAGGUAUUAGAGAGGCAUUGGAGCCGGUUAUGGAACUUCAAAGCGAGGUAAGUCUCCUGUCUAACCUUGUGAGGGGGAAACUACCCCUAGGUGAUGUAUUUGAUAUGUGUUACUUGUUCUGAGGGAUACUUACGCAUGAGGUGACAAGAGUCCGUACAUAGCUAGAUUCAUGUUUAUGUUCGGGUACACCUAGGACUUUAUCAUGCAAUAAAUUGUAUUACUUGAAUUUAAUUGUUAACUUAAUUAUUUGAAGAAUGUCAGUAAAAGCUGAUAAAGAUCAUGUUAGAUCGAACCUCAAUUCCAUGAGCUAUUCGGUAGGAUAAUCGAUUGAUGGUAAAUAUCAUGUUUACAUUACGUCUCUGACCUUGUAUAGUAAAUACGCGAUUCGUAAGUCGAUAAGUUUCUUCUCUUCCUGGGAUCGGGCCGAACGCCUCGGCAGUAUGUGUGUGUGUGUGUGUGUGUGUGUGUGUGUGUGUGUGUGUAGUAUAUAUAUAUAUAUGAGAUGCAUCCAUGGAUCAGGUCGUACGACCUCCACAGUGUAUGUACACGACUAUGGAUCGGGCCGAAUGACCUCGGCAUAAUCCGUGCAUAAAAUCGCUAGGAGUCCGAAUACCCACGAGAUUACCCUCUUGAUUAAACUUGGAAAUUAUGUAAUAUUCUCUUUAUGACCUGAGAUCGGAUAUCUAAUUGAUGGUUCUUAUUUGUUGAGAUAGCAUAUGGCACUUGGGGAUUUUUAAAAUGAUGAUAUUUGUUAAUGGAUUUCGUUAUCUACUGUUUUCUUAUUCAAUUGAUUCUUGUAUUUCAUGCAUGCUUAUGAUUCCUGCAUUUUAUUUAUUGGACCGCUAGUAACUGUCGAUGUCGAUCCCUCAUAACUACUUCUCCAGGGUUAGACUAGAUACUUGCUGGGUACGCAUUGAUUUACGUACUCACGCUGCACUUCUGCACUAAACAUGCAGGAUCCGACAUGUUCAUUUGGUGGUCAUCCUGGCACAUAGGCGCAACUGUUGAGGGGACUUUAUGGCGAGCUUCUUUCUAUGCUACGCACCCCAGCCCUCAGAGUCUUCAUCUUAUUUAUUUACUCUAUCCUAUCUAUUUUAUUUUCCUAACAUAUGUUGUAUUAUUAUUGCACUCUUUAGCAGACGCUCAUGUACUUGUGA